rnacentral:rRNA from 1 species
AACGAACGCUGGCGGCAGGCUUAACACAUGCAAGUCGAGCGCACCGCAAGGGGAGCGGCAGACGGGUGAGUAACGCGUGGGAAUCUACCCAUCUCUACGGAAUAACGCCUGGAAACGUGUGCUAAUACCGUAUACGUCCUUCGGGAGAAAGAUUUAUCGGAGAUGGAGGAGCCCGCGUUGGAUUAGCUAGUUGGUGGGGUAAAGGACUACCAAGGCGAGGAUCCAUAGCUGGUCUGAGAGGAUGAUCAGCCACACGGGGACUGAGACACGGCCCAGACUCCUACGGGAGGGAGCAGUGGGACAUAUUGGACAAUGGGCGCAAGCCUGAUCCAGCCAAGCCGCGUGAGUGAUGAAGGCCCUAGGGUUGUAAAGCUCUUUCACGGGUGAAGAUAAUGACGGUAACCGGAGAAGAAGCCCCGGCUAACUUCGUGCCAGCAGCCGCCGUAAGAC